GAUGAACGCUAGCUACAGGCUUAACACAUGCAAGUCGAGGGGUAACGAGAGGAAAGCUUGCUUUCCUUGUCGACGACCGGCGCACGGGUGAGUAACGCGUAUCCAACCUGCCCCCAACUAAGGAAUAACCUUGCGGAAGUAAGACUAAUACCCUAUAAUUUCCUCAGAUGUCAUCUGACGAGGAAUAAAGAUUUAUCGGUUGUGGAUGGGGAUGCGUCUGAUUAGCUUGUUGGCGGGGUAACGGCCCACCAAGGCAACGAUCAGUAGGGGUUUUGGGAGGAAGGUCCCCAACAGUGGAAAUGAGACACGGUCCAAACUCAUACGGGAAGCAGCAGUGAGGAAUAUUGGUCAAUGGGCGGAAGCCUAAACCAGCCAAGUAGCGUGCAGGAUGACGGCCCUAUGGGUUGUAAACUGCUUUUAUACAGGAAUAAAGUUAGCCACGUGUGGUUAUUUGUAGGUACUGUAUGAAUAAGGACCGGCUAAUUCCGUGCCAGCCGCCGCGGUAA
rnacentral:rRNA from 1 species